GUCCCUUCGGGGGUUAUUUUAGCGGCGGACGGGUGAGUAACACGUGGGUAACCUGCCUAUCACAGGGGAAUAACAAUGAGAAAUCAUUGCUAAAGCCCCAUAAGCUCCCGGCACCGCAUGGUGCAGCGAGAAAAUAUUUAUAGGUGAGAGAGGGGCCCGCGUCUGAUUAGCUAGUUGGUAGGGUAAAAGCCUACCAAGGCGACGAUCAGUAGCCGACCUGAGAGGGUGACCGGCCACAUUGGGACUGAGACACGGCCCAAACUCCUACGGGAGGCAGCAGUGGGGAAUAUUGCACAAUGGGGGAAACCCUGAUGCAGCAACGCCGCGUGAAGGAUGAAGGGUUUCGGCUCGUAAACUUCUUUAGGCAGGGAAGAAAGAAAUGACGGUACCUGCAGAAUAAGCACCGGCUAAAUACGUGCCAGCAGCCGCGGUAAUACGUAUGGUGCAAGCGUUAUCCGGAAUUACUGGGUGUAAAGGGUGAGUAGGCGGUGAGAUAAGU
rnacentral:rRNA from 1 species